GAGGUUAUAUCUUAGUGGUAGAGUGUCUGCUUAGCAUGCAUAAGGUCCUGGGUACAGUCUCCAGUACCUCCA
rnacentral:tRNA from 1 species